rnacentral:rRNA from 1 species
UACGUAGGGGGCAAGCGUUGUCCGGAUUUAUUGGGCGUAAAGAGCUCGUAGGCGGUUUGUCGCGUCUGCUGUGAAAAUCUAAGGCUCAACCUUGGGCUUGCAGUGGGUACGGGCAGACUAGAGUGCGGUAGGGGUGACUGGAAUUCCUGGUGUAGCGGUGGAAUGCGCAGAUAUCAGGAGGAACACCGAUGGCGAAGGCAGGUCACUGGGGCCGCAACUGACGCUGGAGGAGCGAAAGCAUGGGGAGCGAACAGGAUUA